GAGGCGCUAAUACCGGAUACACCCCCCGCGGCAUCGCGUGGGUUGAAAGUUUUUCGGCUAGGGAUGGGCCCGCGGCCUAUCAGCUGUUGUGGGGGUAAUGGGCCUACCAAGGCGACGACGGGUAGCCGGCCUGAGAGGGCGACCGGCCACACUGGGACUGAGACACGGCCCAGACUCCUACGGGAGGCAGCAGUGGGGAAUAUUGCGCAAUGGGCGAAAGCCUGACGCAGCAACGCCGCGUGAGGGAUGACGGCCUUCGGGGUUGUAAAACCUCUUUCAGCGGGGACGAAGCGAAAGUGACUGUACCCGCAGAAGAAGCGCCGGCUAACUACGUGCCAGCAGCCGCGGUAAUACGUAGGGCGCAAGCGUUGUCCGGAUUUAUUGGGCGUAAAGAGCUCGUAGGCGGUCUGUCGCGUCGGAUGUGAAAACCCCGGAGCUCAACUCCGGGCCUGCAUUCGAUACGGGCAGACUUGAGUACUGCAGGGGGAGACUGGAAUUCCUGGUGUAGCGGUGGAAUGCGCAGAUAUCAGGAG
rnacentral:rRNA from 1 species